rnacentral:rRNA from 1 species
GAUGAACGCUGGCGGCGUGCCUAAUACAUGCAAGUCGAGCGAACAGACGAGGAACUUGCUCCUCUGACGUUAGCGGCGGACGGGUGAGUAACACGUGGAUAACCUACCUAUAAGACUGGGAUAACUUCGGGAAACCGGAGCUAAUACCGGAUAAUAUAUUGAACCGCAUGGUUCAAUAGUGAAAGACGGUUUUGCUGUCACUUAUAGCUGGAUCCGCGCCGCAUUAGCUAGUUGGUAAGGUAACGGCUUACCAAGGCGACGAUGCGUAGCCGACCUGAGAGGGGGAUCGGCCACACUGGAACUGAGACACGGUCCAGACUCCUACGGGAGGCAGCAGUAGGGAAUCUGCCGCAAUGGGCGAAAGCCUGACGGAGCAACGCCGCGUGAGUGAUGAAGGUCUUCGGAUCGUAAAACUCUGUUAUUAGGGAAGAACAAAUGUGUAAGUAACUAUGCACGUCUUGACGGUACCUAAUCAGAAAGCCACGGCUAACUACGUG